rnacentral:rRNA from 1 species
GUCCACGCCGUAAACUAUGGACGCUAGCCGUUGGGCAGCUUGCUGUUCAGUGGCGCAGCUAACGCAUUAAGCGUCCCGCCUGGGGAGUACUGCCGCAAGGUUGAAACUCAAAGGAAUUGACGGGGGCCCCGCACAAGCGGUGGAGCAUGUGGUUUAAUUCGACGCAACGCGCAGAACCUUACCAGGGUUUGACAUCCCAAGACCGCUAGAGAGAUCUAGCUUCCCCGCAAGGGGCUUGGAGACAGGUGCUGCAUGGCUGUCGU